rnacentral:rRNA from 1 species
GACGAACGCNGGCGGCGUGCUUAACACAUGCAAGUCGAACGAAGAGCGACGGAAGCUUGCUUCUAUCAAUCUUAGUGGCGAACGGGUGAGUAACGCGUAAUCAACCUGCCCUUCAGAGGGGGACAACAGUUGGAAACGACUGCUAAUACCGCAUACGAUCUAAUCUCGGCAUCGAGGAUAGAUGAAAGGUGGCCUCUACAUGUAAGCUAUCACUGAAGGAGGGGAUUGCGUCUGAUUAGCUAGUUGGAGGGGUAACGGCCCACCAAGGCGAUGAUCAGUAGCCGGUCUGAGAGGAUGAACGGCCACAUUGGGACUGAGACACGGCCCAGACUCCUACGGGAGGCAGCAGUGGGGAAUCUUCCGCAAUGGACGAAAGUCUGACGGAGCAACGCCGCGUGAGUGAUGACGGCCUUCGGGUUGUAAAG